rnacentral:rRNA from 1 species
AGAGUUUGAUCCUGGCUCAGGAUGAACGCUAGCGGCAGGCCUAACACAUGCAAGUCGAGGGGCAGCACGGUGUAGCAAUACACUGGUGGCGACCGGCGCACGGGUGCGUAACGCGUAUGCAACCUACCCAUAACAGGGGGAUAACACUGAGAAAUUGGUACUAAUACCCCAUAACAUCAGGACCGGCAUCGGUUCUGGUUGAAAACUCCGGUGGUUAUGGAUGGGCAUGCGUUGUAUUAGCUGGUUGGUGAGGUAACGGCUCACCAAGGCAACGAUACAUAGGGGGACUGAGAGGUUAACCCCCCACAUUGGUACUGAGACACGGACCAAACUCCUACGGGAGGCAGCAGUGAGGAAUAUUGGUCAAUGGACGCAAGUCUGAACCAGCCAUGCCGCGUGCAGGAAGACGGCUCUAUGAGUUGUAAACUGCUUUUGUACUAGGGUAAUUUGCGGUACGUGUACCGUAUUGAAAGUAUAGUACGAAUAAGGAUCGGCUAACUCCGUGCCAGCAGCCGCGGUAAUACGGAGGAUCCAAGCGUUAUCCGGAUUUAUUGGGUUUAAAGGGUGCGUAGGCGGUUUGAUAAGUUAGAGGUGAAAUACCGGUGCUUAACACCGGAACUGCCUCUAAUACUGUUGAACUAGAGAGUAGUUGCGGUAGGCGGAAUGUAUGGUGUAGCGGUGAAAUGCUUAGAGAUCAUACAGAACACCGAUUGCGAAGGCAGCUUACCAAACUAUAUCUGACGUUGAGGCACGAAAGCGUGGGGAGCAAACAGGAUUAGAUACCCUGGUAGUCCACGCAGUAAACGAUGAUAACUCGUUGUCGGCGAUAUACAGUCGGUGACCAAGCGAAAGCGAUAAGUUAUCCACCUGGGGAGUACGUUCGCAAGAAUGAAACUCAAAGGAAUUGACGGGGGCCCGCACAAGCGGAGGAACAUGUG